UACGUAGGUGGCAAGCGUUGUCCGGAAUUAUUGGGCGUAAAGCGCGCGCAGGCGGUCCUUUAAGUCUGAUGUGAAAGCCCACGGCUCAACCGUGGAGGGUCAUUGGAAACUGGAGGGCUUGAGUACAGAAGAGGAAAGCGGAAUUCCACGUGUAGCGGUGAAAUGCGUAGAGAUGUGGAGGAACACCAGUGGCGAAGGCGGCUUUCUGGUCUGUAACUGACGCUGAGGCGCGAAAGCGUGGGGAGCAAACAGG
rnacentral:rRNA from 1 species